CCCUGGGUGGUGUAAACAGUUAACACACUUGACUGCUAACCAAAAGGUUGGUGGUUCGAGUCCACUCAGAGGUG
rnacentral:tRNA from 1 species